rnacentral:rRNA from 1 species
UACGAAAGGUCCAAGCGUUACUCGGAAUUACUGGGCGUAAAGCGCGCGUAGGCGGUCUUGUAUGUCGAUUGUGAAAGCCCCGGGCUCAACCUGGGAACUGCAGUCGAAACUGCAAGACUUGAAUGUUGGAGAGGUUGGGGGAAUACCUAGUGGAGAAGUGAAAUUCGUAGAGAUUAGGUGGAACACCAGAGGCGAAGGCGCCUGACUGGCCAAACAUUGACGCUGAGGCGCGAAAGCGUGGGUAGCAGACAGG